CCCUGCGAGUGCUUUUAAAUGAAAACAUGUUUAAUUAAUGAUGUUGAAGUAUUCUGUCACAAUUAGGAAGAUUUACAUUCAAACAAGGCGGCAGUGAUGUCCCUGACAGCCAUGAUGAAAGUUUACCCUUCUUGCCUCUGACUGGCAGCUAGCAGCCAUCGCUGGACUGGAUCCAUUUCCCAUCAAUACAACCAGUCAGCAGGAGUGAAAGCGACAGCCACAUGAUAAUGUAACAUCACCACCAUUCAUCCCUGCCACACAGCAUUCUGAGACAAAACAACAACAACCCAGGAACCUGAAAAAAAGCAGCGUGAUUUACAGCAGACAUGACAAGUAUCACUAAUACAAAUCCCCCCCCCCACUCCUUGAAGGAGUUCAGCAUCCUGCUCUCAUCUGCAUUUGAUACAAGCCCAAUAAAGCAGUCUUCAUAAGAUGCAGCACUGCUCCAUAUUUCAUACUGACCCACACACUGGAGGUAAACUACAGAGCUAAGCAAUGCUAUUAUCAUUACUGAGAACGUUAAAUGAAUAUUAUGUUACAUUACAUCCAGUUUACUAUAUA